GGAGCGCAAGGAUGCCUCUACUCCCGCCCGGCCCCUGCCGCGGGCGCCGAGCACACGCAGCACCUGACUCGCGCUCCCAUUGGCUGCUGCCUGUUGCUAACCCACGUGAUCGGCGCCGGCGCGCCCCGCCCUCGGCCCCGCCCCCGCCCCCGCCCCCGCCCCCGCCCCCGCCCCCGCCCCCGCGGGCUCCCGCGGCUCGGCUCCGCGGCGCGUUCCUGCGGGGGUGGCGUGGGCCGCGCCGGGCUUCGAGCUCUCGGCCGCUCGCCCCUGCAGACUGCAAGUCUCCGCGCGGCGCCCGGGCGGGCGGCCGGUGUCCACAAGGUGGCAGUGCCGCGCUGCUGGUGUCCUGACCGGGGGUCCGCACGCGCCGCGCCGGGCGGCCGGAGUCCGCACUUCCCUCCUGCCAAAGUUUUAAUGAACCUAUAGACACACCCGGACCUGGGUCACCCCCAGGGCUGGCUGGCCGCGCCCCUCAGAUCUGGGGGCUCCCCUGGGAGAGAUGCAUGCCCCGAUGGCGUCUUUGUCCCAACUCAGGGAAUCAGAACUUGGGGUCUGUCAGUGCAGCAGGUCUACACCACCACCGUUUCGGAGGAUCUCUCCACGCAGCGGCGUCCUGGAAUCCUAACCCGCUCAAGUGGAGAACAUCCCGGGAACGUCCUGGUCCCGAGGCUUGUCCCGGGCUGCCCUUAAUUCCAGACUCAGAGAGAGAUAAGCUCCUCCGACCUCGUUUGACCCCGCUGCAGGCGCCGGGUGUCCUCUUUCAGCAUGAGUCUGGUCAUGGCUGUGGAGAUGCCAGUGCCCUAAGAAAAGAUGGGGCAUCGUCUGAGGAAUCGCCUUCAGAACCCGAGGCACAUCUGUUCAGACCUCGAUGCUGA
ensembl:lncRNA